GUGGUUCUACUUAGAGGAGCAGAGAAGGAACAAUUUUGAGUAAUUAAAUUACACUGCUGGCUAUAAGCCAAAUAGUCCAGGAUGCUGCAGAUUCUGAAUAAUCACCCUGACUAGAAAAUAAUGAUCCAUCUUCUGUGAAUUUUUCCAAAUUUUCUUUAAAAAAAAUUAAAUCAGUGGCCAUCAUCACCUCACCUCAAGACAAGGUUAUCAAAGCAACUUCUUGUGUACAAAAUAUUUGCUUGCUUUCUAUCCUGAAAUAGUAGCUGUAGAUCCCGCUCAGGAAUUCUAGAAAGUUUUAAUCAGAGAAGAACUGUCAAAAAGCCCCAUUCUUCAAACAGCAGAAGGCCUAUCAUAUAGAAUAGGAUAUAGUAUAUUUUAUGCUGAGCUACAAGACAGGACUAGACUUGUGGAUUUAAGUUGUAAGACAGUAUUAGGAAAAAUAUCCUGGUGAUAUGACAAUAAAUUCAGUGACAGGUAUGCAUUUUUUCCUUAUUAAAAAUCUAAGCAACAAAAGCAUUUGAGAAACCUUAUAAUAAAGAACAAGUUUAAUCAGAUACGAACACAUUUUAUUAGAUAUAUUAUUGCUUUUCCUGAAAAAAUUAUCCCACUAGCCAUAUUGCUGACUAAUUUUGGCUUUCUCCUUAGUUACAGAUGUAUUUUCAACUCUCUACAGAUAAUCCUUGAUUUACAACUAUAAUUGAGCCUAGAAUUACAGUCAUAAAUCAUUAUGAUUAUAAGUUGAGGCAUCAUCUAUCAGAUCCAAUUUUUCAGCAUUUUUUUGUGAUGGUUCUUAAGCAAAUCCAUUUUAUUCAAUGGGAGUUUUGGAUCAGAUAUCGGCAAAAAAUGUCAAAAAUUGUGCUCAUGUGAUCACAGGAUGCUGCAAAUGACCAUAAAGGUGAGUUGAUUGCCAAGCAGCCAAAAUAUGAUCACAUAACCAUGGGAAGGUGGGCCAUUGUAAGGAUGAAAUCGGGUGAUAAGUAACUUUUGGGGGUUCAUUGAAACUUUGAAAGUUAUUAAGCAACUGGUUGUAAGUCAAAGACUCCUAGCAUUUUAUAUUUUCCUUCAUUUAUUUUUCAAAUAAUUAAAUCUAUGUAUUUUUAUUAUUUUUUUGUUUUGUAUAGAUACUGUUUAGUUAAGUAUUUUCCCCCUUUGGUUCUGAAAAUAAAAGAAAUUGCAUCUGUUGGGGAUGCUCAUCUAAAAAUUGCUUUAGUUCUGCAUAUCCAAACUAAGCUGAAAGUUUGUCUUCACAGCAAAGACAUCACCAAUGUCAUAUUUCAGAUUAGGGUCAGGAAAUUUCACUUUUUUUAAAACUAAGCUCAUUUUUUUAAAUGGAAACUACCAAAAAGCACUUAGCCAAACUAAAGUAUCAAGAAGUCAUCUGCAAUGGAUUUCUUUUUUAUUUAUUAAUCUACCGGUAUCUAAGUCUGGUCUUGUUCCAGUGGCUUUCCUUUUUGACAUCAUCCAAGCUAAGUGGAAGGUUCCAAGAAAGUGUAAUAAUCUUUGGCUAUCUUUUAAUAAUUUAUAAAAUGAUAAAAUUCAGAAAGAUUUGUACUAUUCAUCAUACCAAAAUACUGUAAUGAGUUCCAUUUCUCCUAAAUAUACAGAAAUCAAACAGUCUUCCUUUCUCAUUGAACCAAAUGGAAAAUGGGUUAAUUUAAUAUGUUAACAGGUUGAUGAAUAAACAUUAGAGACUGCCUCACUUUACAAAUUAGACGCAGCUCAUACCAUCAUGCUAAACCAUAAGGACUGAAUCUGAAUUGGCAAAUUACUGUUUGCAAUCAGAAACAGGCUAGUUAGGUUAGUGAGGUUGCCACUCAUAUGCUCACUUUGGUUAGGUACAACAGUAUCAAUACAUAAUUAUUUUUAUUUUUUUGUUUUGUGAGACUGUUGUACAAACUUAUGCAACAAACUAAGAGAAGUGAAUAAUGGAACAGACAUGCUGCUUUAAAACUAUAGCUUGAUUUCAUUUUCAAACUAACAAUAAUCAAUCUACAGUUUGAUGUAAUGGUAACUGAGUUACAUAUCCCAUUUGAUGUCUAUUUUAUGGGAUAAUAAUUUGUUGAUAAAUCAUUUAUCAGUAACAAAUUAUUGCUCUUGUCUUCCAAACUAGGAUUACAAGUCUGAAUUUUGCUUUAUAGCUAUACUAUUUGUGUAACUGAAAUGUCCAAAUUCUGUUUUCUUAGAGACUGUUUUCCUUUGAAAGUAAAGUUGAAUUCUAUUCACUUCCUGAACUGAACACCAAUUUUUGUGAAACUUGCAUUCCCAUGUGAAUACAAGAUUGUCCAGCCAAAUCUAAUUCAAAGCACAUCUAGAUAAUUCACCUUUACCUCAGAAGCAUUAGCAAGUUUCAUAUAUUUAAGCAUGAAUCGUUUUCCAUCACAUGCAGAAAACACUGAUAUUGAAUGUUGAAAAAAAGUUGCAUUAAAAGUUUUAGAUAAAUCAAGAAACAUACUUAUGUCAUUUAAAUAAUGGCAUCAGUAUGCAAAUCACAUAAAGUGCUGCAAAUGAUGAAAUUUUCUCCAAUUGCAUAAUGAAGCCAUCAAGUAAAUCAAGUAAAUAGUGAUGUACUGUGCAAUGUAUAAAUAUUCUCUUACCGACUGGUCCACUAAAUCUAUAGAUACCUAAUCUUGCUAACUGGUCUCCCUUAAGUAGGAACCUCACAAAUUCCAGGUCACAGUAUGAUUGCAGAUGCCAUUACAGAGAAGGUCCUACAAGUAACUUAUUUGAUGACACUCUGAAAAUCUUCAUUAAUGCAACAGGAUUGCUCAGAGCAGAACAGAUGGACUACCAGAUAUCCUGCUUCCAAAUUGACUAUGGACUCAAAUGGGAAAAGCAAAACUUGGAACCUGAUCGUGAGCUAAUUGACUGCAAAUGCAGUUGCUUUAGCAGAGAUGCAAUUUUGCCAAGGCCAGAUGGCUAAGGCCACUAAUGAACCAGAUUGGAGAUGAGCUGUUAAAACAGCGCUCAGUCCAGCUCUUGGAGCUUUCCGACUGGCUUAUGUGAAGAUAAAUGCACUUUAUAGCUAAAAUCCGGUGGUUGCCUUAUCCAGGAUUGUCUUUCUGGAGGGGCUUUGCAUUGCUGUGAAGUACGGAUUUGAUUUCGUUCUAAUGCUAACUCCAGCUCUCUUCCAAUUUCAGCAGUUGUAUAUACAAAUUUUACUUGAUAAAGGCUCUUGUGCUGGAGCAACAGGAAGAAAAACUUUAUUCCAGUUGCAGGUAGUCCUCAGCGUAUGAUCACGAGUGUGCACAACAUUUCUGUUGCUAAGCGAGACUGUUGUUAAAUUUGUGAAGAAGGCAGGAGCUGACAAGCAGUGAUUGCCCAUUGCACCUCCACAUUACUAAACAGCUUACUUCUGGAAAUUGAACCAGCAUUUCGCCCUCUGGAAACUAUGAAAGAGUGAGCUGUCCUGGAGAAGAGUAAAUGAUCAUUAUUGUUCCUACUAUAUUAUUGGGAAUGUCCAUUUUAUUUUGUCUCUGCUUUUAAAUGUUCAUCAUUUCUAAUGUUUUUAUAAGGCUUUGGAGAUCAUUGGUAUAAAAAUACAAAACACAAGUUUUCUUAUUUUCACAUAAAAAUAAUAAAUAAUAAUUUUUAAAAAAACAAUCAUUCUGUGAAUCAAACUAUGGCUUGUUGCACAUAAAGAAUACUAGGAUUACAUCAGAUAAUGCUAUAUCAAAGAACAUAACCUGUAGAGAACAUUCUUGAGCCACUAAUAGAAUUCCUGAGACAUUUAUCUUUUAUCCAUAGAUUUUAAAAACCCAUUAAUAUUUUACUACUCUAGAUUUUUGAGUAGUUUUCUUUCUUUUGGGAUUAUUUUUUAUCUACAUUCCACCAAAAUAAGAAGCAACUCAGUUAUCUUAAAAAAAAUAUCCAUUGUCUUUCUAAAAAAGCUAUCAGUAAUCUUCUAGAUUGCAAAGAAAUAGACUACAGACUACUGCUUUGAGAUUCUAACAGUUAACCUCAUAAAAACAUAAGACAUGAUAAAAACAUAAAAACAAAGAAAAAAUAAAAAGUAUAUUCUAUAGUUCCCUUAUGCUAUAAAUGUCCAUUAGGGGAGAUACCAAAUUGU